GGUGGCUCAGUGGUAGAGUGCUUGCAUUUCAUGCAUGAGGCCCUGGGUUCAAUUCCUCAGUACCA
rnacentral:tRNA from 1 species